AGAGUUUGAUCCUGGCUCAGAUUGAACGCUGGCGGCAUGCCUUACACAUGCAAGUCGAACGGUAACGCGGGGGCAACCCUGGCGACGAGUGGCGAACGGGUGAGUAAUACAUCGGAACAUAUCCAGUAGCGGGGGAUAACCUAUCGAAAGAUGGACUAAUACCGCAUACGAUCUACGGAUGAAAGCAGGGGACCGCAAGGCCUUGCACUAUUGGAGUGGCCGAUGUCGGAUUAGCUAGUUGGUGGGGUAAAAGCUUACCAAGGCGACGAUCCGUAGCUGGUCUGAGAGGACGAUCAGCCACACUGGAACUGAGACACGGUCCAGACUCCUACGGGAGGCAGCAGUGGGGAAUUUUGGACAAUGGGCGCAAGCCUGAUCCAGCCAUGCCGCGUGAGUGAAGAAGGCCUUCGGGUUGUAAAGCUCUUUCGGUGAAGACGAAACGGUUCAUGCUAAUAACGUGAACUAAUGACGGUACUCACAGAAGAAGCACCGGCUAACUACGUGCCAGCAGCCGCGGUAAUACGUAGGGUGCAGGCGUUAAUCGGAAUUACUGGGCGUAAAGCGUGCGCAGGCGGUUUGCUAAGACAGGUGUGAAAUCCCCGGGCUUAACCUGGGAAUUGCGCUUGUAACUGGCAAGCUAGAGUGUGGCAGAGGGGGGUGGAAUUCCACGUGUAGCAGUGAAAUGCGUAGAUAUGUGGAGGAACACCGAUGGCGAAGGCAGCCCCCUGGGUUAACACUGACGCUCAUGCACGAAAGCGUGGGGAGCAAACAGGAUUAGAUACCCUGGUAGUCCACGCCCUAAACUAUGUCAACUAGUUGUCGGGGAAGAAAUUCCUUGGUAACGAAGCUAACGCGUGAAGUUGACCGCCUGGGGAGUACGGCCGCAAGGUUAAAACUCAAAGGAAUUGACGGGGACCCGCACAAGCGGUGGAUUAUGUGGAUUAAUUCGAUGCAACGCGAAAAACCUUACCUACCCUUGACAUGCUAGGAAGCCCGCAGAGAUGUGGGUGUGCCCGAAAGGGAACCUAGACACAGGUGCUGCAUGGCUGUCGUCAGCUCGUGUCGUGAGAUGUUGGGUUAAGUCCCGCAACGAGCGCAACCCUUGCCAUUAGUUGCUACAUUCAGUUGGGCACUCUAAUGGGACCGCCGGUGACAAACCGGAGGAAGGUGGGGAUGACGUCAAGUCCUCAUGGCCCUUAUGGGUAGGGCUUCACACGUAAUACAAUGGUCGGUACAGAGGGCUGCCAACCCGCAAGGGGAGCUAAUCCCAGAAGGCCGAUCGUAGUCCGGAUUGUAGUCUGCAACUCGACUGCAUGAAGCCGGAAUCGCUAGUAAUCGCGGAUCAGCAUGUCGCGGUGAAUACGUUCCCGGGUCUUGUACACACCGCCCGUCACACCAUGGGAGUGGGUUCCACCAGAAGUAGUUAGCCUAACCGCAAGGAGGGCGAUUACCACGGUGAGAUUCAUGACUGGGGUGAAGUCGUAACAAGGUA
rnacentral:rRNA from 1 species